CAUCUCUACAUGUGUAUAUUGCCUUUGUAUUUAUUUUUUGGCAAAUUUCUUUUUCUCUUAUCUUUAAUUCAAAUCUGUUUUGGUCCUUUAAUUUUUAAAAAGAUUAAUUUGCUCAUCAUCAUUUUCUUUUUUACUAUGUUUGUUUCAAACUCCUUUGUCAAAUGAACCCUAAAUAAAAUUAUGGCACAAAUCUCUUUGAUUGUCAUCACCAUUGCCCUCUCUUCUGGCAAAUUGGACCCUGGAAUCGCGAAAACUUGUAAAAAUAAGUUAUGGGUGUUAUUCAUCAAUAACAAAAAGGAAGAGUUAUGGGAGUUUUGAUUAGAAGGUUUACUGAAGUUCCAACCUUCGAUGAUGGCCGAUUUGUCGUUGUGGAGACAUUGUUGUUCUUCUUAGGGCAACAACAUUUAACAACUAUUAUGGCAAGUAAUUUUUGGAAUCUCCACAUUUUAAGAAGUGGAAGAUGAGAAUGAUCAAUUUAUGGUGAAGUAAAAGUGGGGAUGGAAAAGUUAACAAAAGAAAAUGAAGGGUAUAUGGAUAAUCUUGAAAAAAUCAGGGUCACAAUUGAGGAAGAAAAGCAAUAUUUGUUGGAACUUGAAGUUGAUAUGAAGAACAUUUUGAAGUGGAAGAAAUUUUGAAAGAUUUUUUUUCUUAUUUUCAUUGUUUUAAUAGUCAGGAUAUUUUAAAUAUAAUUAUGUAUCAGUACAAUGGAAUUAUAAGUUGAAUGCAAGUAGAAGUGUAUAUCAGUAUAUGUUUUGUAUAAGUACAAUGGAAUUAAGUUGAAUCCAAAUGGAAUUAUGUAUCAAUUUUGUUUAAGAUCAAUGACAAGUUUCAGUUGUUUGUUU